AUGCUCGCUUCGACAGCUCAUAUACUAAAAUUGUAACGAUACGGAGAGUAUUAGCAUGGCCCCUGUGCAAGGAUGGCAUGCAAAUCCAUGAAGCGUUCCAUUAAAAA
ensembl:snRNA U6 U6 spliceosomal RNA